AAAUAGAGAAGUCUCCUGCUUGUGCAUGGUGGCUGUUGCUACAAGAGACUUGGGACAGAGGACUGCUGUCUGCUCUCUCCAGUCACCGUCCUAGCCUAAGGAUCUGUGACCCCAGCAUGAGGACCCUCGCCCUCCUCGCUGCCCUUGUCCUGGUGACCCUCCAGGCCCAGGCUGGGCCCCUGCAAGAGAGAGAAGAGGAGAUCCCAGCCCUGGAGCUGCCUGGGGCACAGGACCCUGACGUGUCCCUUUCCAUCACAUGGGGGGAAAACUCCCUUCCUCAAGCUCCAGCCAGGAGCACAGCUUGCGCUUGUAGAAGACCAGCUUGCAUCGAGGGGGAAAGUCGCAUUGGGACCUGCCACUUCGGUAAUGAUGUCUAUGUAUUUUGCUGCUGAGUGUGGAGAAGAGAGAAAAAGCAGUUCACUUGGAGUUUACUUGGAGACCUACAGGGCAUCGCUGUCACUCCUCUACCUUGUCCUCAAUUUUCUUUCCUCAUCUGAAAUAAAGUCCUUGUGCAAAGA